AUAAAAACAUGUGGUAAAAUAUAUAUAACAUAAAAUUUACCAUCUUACCCUCUCUUCAUCCAGCAGUGCAGUGGCAUUAACUACAUUCCUAUUACGGUGUAACUGUCCUCAAAUCUGGAAAACCUCUUCAUCUCAUAAAACAGAAACUGUGCCCAUUAAACAACUCUCCCCUUCUCCCUCCGCAGCCUCUGGUAACCAUCACUCCAGGCUGUCUCUAUGGAGAUACUAAGGACCUCGUGCAAGAGGAAUCAGCAGCAUCUGCCUUUCUGGCUCCUUUCAGUCUAUCAAUGAUGGGAGAAUCUCUUGCUGACCAGACAGAAGAUGAGGAUAAUUUCACAGUGGUGACUACUCACCACACAGAGCAACACCUGAUGCCAGGUUCCUACAGUACUUGUGGGAGAUGGUUGCUAUAAUCUGCCAGCAAAAUUCCAGUAGAUAGUUACUACCUCCAGUGUGCCUGACCCAUCCCUUGCUGGGGAUGUCUUCAGGAGACUGCUGUUGGGCUCAGCCUAUCUACUUGUUAAAUUUUGCCUUGGCUUUGAUCGUGCACAUGGACUGUUGGGAUCAUUCUGAAUUUUCAUUAUAUCAUUUCUGACAAUUGCUCUCCAGAUUGGUGUCAUCUGAAUAAUUGAUUGGCAAAUAUUUUUGAAAGGAUAAAGCCAAGGACAUACUCCUGUAUUCAACCAGCAGAAAUUUUUAUUCUCAUUGACAUUGAGCCACGAAUCAACACUUUUUGAUUGCAGCUGUUCAAAUGGCCAGAGUGCUAUGGAAGAAUGUAAAUGACAAUGGUGAAGACAGCACUGCAAAGAUAUCCUGUAUCUCUCGGGGAAUUCUUAAGUUGAAUGCAGUUCAAGGAAAAUCCCAACAAGUUACCUUCAUACAACCUGAUGAGCUGAAUCUCAGUUUCAUUCGAGAGAGCACAGGAAUGUACUGAUUGAGGGAGAAAUAACAAGAACGGAGGGAAUGCAUCUUUUUAGAAAUCAGAACUCAAGACUAUUAUAAAGCUAUAAUGAUUAGCACUGUUUGGUAUUGGCACCGAAGAGGAAAAAGAUCAAAGGAACAGAAAAGAGAUUCCAGGAAUAAAACAGCAAAGCAGCAUGUACGUAGCAAUUUGCAGUGGUACAGGGUGCAUUGCACAUCUUUUGGAACACAGAGGUAAUUACAAAGUGACACUGGCCUAUGUGGCAAUCUGGAGUGAAAAACAGUGUUCUCUCUCUAGCUCAGAUCUGCACUAAAACAGGUCCUAGGGUGUUUAAAGAUGAAAAGAUGAAAGAAAAAAAACUUCAGCAUAUUGGAAGAAAAUAUAAGAGAAUGUCUUCAUGACCUUCAAAGUAGGAAAUGUUUUUAAAAUAAGAUGCCAAAAGCAGGAGCAAAAAAAUGAGAGUUUUUAUUCAUUUGACUCGAUUAAAAAAAUUACAAAUAUUCAGUUAUCAAAACACAAGGGAAAGAGGUUAAACUUACAGACUUGGAAAAGUUUUUUUUUUACAGCUAUAAAAGAUAAAUAAUUAGUAUUCAGAAUUUGAUAAAGCCUUUCAUGAGCCAACAUGAAUAAUACAAAUAAUUGACAAGGAGAAGUGAGGAAUAUUAUCAGGGACUUUUACAAAAUGAAAGUCAAAAUACAGAAGACUGCAUUUAUUCUUCCGCAGCAUUCUGCCUCUGUGUGAAUAGACAAGUGUAACGUGAAAUCACAGGGAGUUUAUCUCUAACCUGUUAGAUUGACAGCAUUUCCAAGUCUGAUGAUAGCAAUUGUAAGGAAGGAUGUGGAGCAGGGGCCAGACUUGCCUUCAAAAGAGCUAGGAAAUGCCAGAACUACUGAGACUUCUGUGUGCUCAGUAAAAGUCUCCCUGCUAGGUAAAACAGAAAGAUAGACUAUUGGAGAACUGAUGGAUGGUUCCACGGUGCCACCCCAGAAACUUUGGAAACGGCCAAUAAAGCUGAAAAUGUGCAUCAUAUGGAUAUAGUAAUUUCACGCACAGGUGUGAAUUCUAGAGAAAUCCCUGGCACGGGCCAGGAAGCACUUUCCUGUCACAUCGUGACAGCAAAUAAUGAGGAGCAAUAUGGAAGACCAUCAACAUGAUUCUUCAGCCCGAACCAUCAACCUGACCAUCAGCAGGAGUGUGAACAAAUCAACUGAGAAACAUUCAUUUCAAGCUGAUGCUUCUGAUGAUACAGGUAAUGGAGCUAGAUCCACAUGGCGAACACAGAUGCCUCAAAAACAGAAAGCUGAGAAAAGAUAACAAACUCUGGAGAAGUCUUGGAGUGAGGUGUCAUUUAUAUACAAAACAGGUAAAUGACAGCCCCUUUGAAGGAUGACAAACUACAGUCUAUAGGUCAACACCAAGUGUCUAUUUUUGUAAAUACAAUUUAAAAAAUAUAGCCACACUCAUUUGAUUGCGUAUUAUCUAUGGCUGCACUUGUGCUAAAGGAGCAGAGCUACAAUGCUGAACAGAGAUAGUAUGCCCUUUAAAGCCUACAUAGUUACUACAUAAAAUGUUUGCUUAAC